rnacentral:rRNA from 1 species
GCGCAGCAGUCGCGAAUCUUCCACAAUGGACGAAAGUCUGAUGGAGCGACGCCGCGUGCGGGGAUGAAGGCCUUAUGGGUUGUAAACCGCUGUCAGGGGGGAAGAACAUCGGAAUGAACAAUACUCAUUCCGACUGACGUUACCCCCAGAGGAAGCUCCGGCCAACUCCGUGCCAGCAGCCGCGGUAAUACGGGGGGAGCAAGCGUUGUCCGGAAUUAUUGGGCGUAAAGGGCGUGUAGGCGGCGAGGUAAGUCGAAUGUGAAAUCUCACGGGCUCAACCGUGAAACUGCGUUCGAAACUACCCUGCUUGAGUACGGGAGAGGUGU